CACGUAGGGGGCGAGCGUUGUCCGGAUUUAUUGGGCGUAAAGAGCUCGUAGGCGGCUCGGUAAGUCGGGUGUGAAAACUCUAGGCUCAACCUAGAGACGCCACCCGAUACUGCUGUGGCUAGAGUCCGGUAGGGGGAGCAUGGAAUUCCUGGUGUAGCGGUGAAAUGCGCAGAUAUCAGGAGGAACACCAAUUGCGAAGGCAGCUCGCUGGGACGUUACUGACGCUGGAGACGCGAAAGCGUGGGGAGCAAACAGG
rnacentral:rRNA from 1 species